rnacentral:misc_RNA from 1 species
AUGAUUCUAAUGCUUGUCUCUCUAAUUAGCCAAAAAUUGAUCCAAGUAUACACAUCAUAAUAACAAUGGAAAUAGCAAUACUGUUAAAACUCAAAUAAAAAGAAUAAGAUAAUGUUCUCUCUUGGCUUUCUCAGGUUGCAAACUAACACAGUGUUUUAAGUAAAAAAUUCAGAACCACUUGGCCAAAGUUACAGCAUAUCAAACUAUUUGCAAAAGAGCGAGACCUCUUUUAUCAUUGUCAACAA